AUAAAUAUCAAAUAUUAUGUGGAUAAUAAUAAACAUGUUUCUCAAUAAAUAUAAAAUAUUCAUUUAAAUUAAAGUAUAUAUUAUUGCCAUCUAUUAUCGAAUAGCAAAACUAGGAUCCUGGUUUUUUGAGUAGUUUUGAUAGUUGUCGCUAGAUGUCACUAUUAAAUACAUAGAUAUUUAAAAUGGGCCAGCUUAUUUUAAGUCACAAACAAUGUAUGUAAAGAAACGAGCAUGUUCUGGAACAUUUUAGAAAUUGAAAAUAAUUUUUCGUCAUAACAUAAAGUUAGAACAUCCAUGAUUUUUUAACUUUUUUCUUGAUUUUUUUAAAGUUCGUUGGUUGAUUAUAGUCCCGUAAAUCUAAUAAAUAUUCCAAUAAUGUAUUCCUACCUAACUGAUCUAAAUAUUUAAAGUUACAAAGGCGAAGAACCUUCUCGAAGAUUCUACGAAUCUGCGAGGAACGCCAGGGAUGGCGAAAAUAUGCUCGGGCUAGAAUGAUGACUGCAAACCGCGAUCAUGUCAUGAUGACACGAUUAAGAGAGGGUGUUCGUCACUGCAGAUGUGUUACACACACACUAGCCGGAAGUACUAUCAGAUUAUGAGCAGAUGAUGUAACAUGUAGAAGCGAUGUCGGAGGAGGCAGGGUUGCUUUCUUACUUUUGUCAAUGUGGUAAUUUGGAAAAAAAAAGUUCUUGUAUUGCAUAUAGCCAUAAAAUUUUAUAUUGAUAUUUUUGAGCUAUCGUUUUUUCACGAAAUUUUGAUAAAUAGCCAUUUAUUUACGGUUCAGGUUACGAAUUUGGACUGCUAUUUAAACGACAAAGCUUAAACCACGUUACUUCUUAAAAUUAUUAAGCAUUUAAUAUUGUUUUCAACCUACCUUUCUCGGUAUCCUCAACUGGCUUGCAAAGCACUGCGCAUGUCAAGCCAGCUAACACAAUUAGAACGAAACCUGCCAUUUCCAAUAAAAGUAUUAAUUGUAGUUUUUAAGUGCGCUGAAGAUUUUCUAUUUCAGUUUUAUUUAUGAAAAACAUGUAAAUCGACUGAUCUGUUUUAUACUAAACUAUAUCCCCCUCUAAAUCCUUGUGCAUUGACGUAUUUCACACUAAAUAAUGAUGUAAAUCAAUAUUUUUAUAUGAUCAUAAAAGAUUAACGGAGUCAAUUUUGUACACAAGCAAAAGGGUCUUUCACUAGGGCUGCGAAUUAGACCGCCCAUAUAAAACAAUUCACUAUAAUUUUUCGUUAAUUCUGUUAACACCCAUCUAUGUGAUAAUAUAUGCGGGAAGACUUAAUUAAAAA